GACGAACGCUGGCGGCGUGCUUAACACAUGCAAGUCGAACGAUGAUGCCCAGCUUGCUGGGUGGAUUAGUGGCGAACGGGUGAGUAACACGUGAGUAACCUGCCCCUGACUCUGGGAUAAGCGUUGGAAACGACGUCUAAUACUGGAUAUGAUCACUGGCCGCAUGGUCUGGUGGUGGAAAGAUUUUUUGGUUGGGGAUGGACUCGCGGCCUAUCAGCUUGUUGGUGAGGUAAUGGCUCACCAAGGCGACGACGGGUAGCCGGCCUGAGAGGGUGACCGGCCACACUGGGACUGAGACACGGCCCAGACUCCUACGGGAGGCAGCAGUGGGGAAUAUUGCACAAUGGGCGCAAGCCUGAUGCAGCAACGCCGCGUGAGGGAUGACGGCCUUCGGGUUGUAAACCUCUUUUAGUAGGGAAGAAGCGAAAGUGACGGUACCUGCAGAAAAAGCACCGGCUAACUACGUGCCAGCCGCCGCGGUAA
rnacentral:rRNA from 1 species